rnacentral:rRNA from 1 species
AUUGAACGCUGGCGGCAGGCCUAACACAUGCAAGUCGAACGAGUGGCGGACGGGUGAGUAAUGUCUGGGAACCUGCCUGAUGGAGGGGGAUAACUACUGGAAACGGUAGCUAAUACCGCAUACCAUCAGAUGUGUCCAGAUGGGAUUGAAUAGUUGGUGGGGUAACGGCUCACCAAGGCGACGAUCCCUAGCUGGUCUGAGAGGAUGACCAGCCACACGGGAGCGGGGACGCGGUCCAGAAUCCGACGGGAGGCAGCAUUGGGGAAUAUUGCGCAAGGGGCACAAGCCUGAUACAGCCAUGCCGCGUGUAUGAAGAGGGCCUUCGGGUUGUAAAGUACUUUCAGCGGGGAGGCGUUACCCGCAGAAGAAGCACCGGCUAACUCCGUGCCAGCAGCCGCGGUAAUUC